GCAUGUCACUGUGACAAAACAGUACGGAUAAGUGUUGCUAUAAUACACCUUGUUUCGUUUUAUUCUAAUGUUAAUAUAUGUUUCGUUAUUACCCAGAUUCGUUAUUACCUAGAUUUGGGUAAUCUCAUUUUAUCUAUAUAGGCGUUGUUACGGAUUAAUGCAAUCCAAGCUGUAGGCAGCCCAUAAGCAAUUUUAAAGUAAAAUAAUCCGUUGAACAGUUCAGAUGCUCUGUCACCUCCAUGCAUAUGUGAUUCACACAAGCGCACGAGAUACCGAAUUAAGUAUAAGAUCACUGGGCGUCGCCUAGGAAACACUGGAGACCCCCAAUCUGCAAGGCUGAGCUGUAUUUCAUCAAUUUUUAAAAGGUUUUAAAACAAUAACAUAAAAAGAGAAAGUUUGUAUCAUCAAUUAACUGCAAUUCCAGCAUGUAAUUUCUACCAGUUUAUGAAUGCUUAAGCUGGAGAUAUAAAAAAGUCAUCCUCAUAUGGCGCUACAUUUUGCACCGAAGAUACUUUAGAGCUGUUGAGUUUUUUUUUUCCUGCGGGCUUGGUGCAGAAGAGGUGGACCUUAGCCGCACGUUUUGCCACUGGAAAUCAGUCAGGAAACAUUUGAAUUUAGCUAAUUAA
rnacentral:lncRNA from 1 species